UGAUAACAGCGUGUGGUUUCUUUACAGGUGAAGCUUCACUAUACUCGUGAUCAAUACCUAUCACCUAUUAGCGUAAAGCAUUAAGUGAGCUGUGAGGGAUUGUUGUAACGCUUUUGUGUUGGCCUACAUGGCCUACGUCGUUAAAAUGUUAUUCUCUCCAAAGCCUCGGUAAAGUAAGGUGACCUCGGAGCCUCGUGUCGCGUGUUGGUGACUAACCUCACCUUACAGGACCGAUAACAUUAGACAAUAAACAGACCUAUUAAAACAAUCAAAAUGGAUACGGAUUUAGAAUUAUAACAGAGGUAUAACCGUGGUAGUGUGAAAAUCGUCCCUAGUGGGUUACGUCAUUAAAUAAACCUGGAUAGGUUACAUACAAAUAAAGCAAUUCGCAUAAUGUCUCAGCUUAGCUUUAGGUCACUCAAUUAUUUCACUCAUAUUUUCCUGUGUGUGACAGUCCCAACCCCCAUACACAAUCAGGAUAGCCCCGCUGCAUAUGAUCAGUUUAUGUUAUGAAUCAAAAUAUUUUUUUAGUACAAUAAACCGAGCUGGUUGUUUUGGUUUGUGUGUGUGUGUGUGUGUGUGUGUGUGUGUGUGUGUGUGUGUGUGUGUGUGUGUGUGUGUGUGUGUGUGUGUGUGUGUGUGUUUUCGUGCGUAAAAGAGGGUGGAAGUAAAGUGUCAUUGGGAUAUUAAGUCGACACCUCAUUCCAGAUGUCCCAGUUCAACUCAUGCAUGCUAUGUGUAGCAGCCAUCUCUGAUUGGCUCACUUACAAAACAGCAGUGCACACACACCACACACACGUUCUCGUGCAUGAAAACACGCGCACACACGCGCACACACACAAACAAUCUCACUCACACACACAAAAUCUCACACACAAAGGCACACACUCGCGCACACACACACACACACACACAAAAUCACGCAUAAUGCAGAUGACUAUUUUGCAUGCUACAGUUGUAUUAAAGUGCUUCUUCAGUCAUCACUGAACCCCCAGUGCCACAUAGUGUACCCAAGCGAUGGGAGUGACUCACCUCGUUGACUUAGUUCAGUGUUGAUGCUGGUCCCGAUCACGCAUUGCCACCAGCUCUCUGAGGUACAUUAGGAACUUCAAUCUGACGAGAUAAAGACAUUUUUCAUGAUUACAAAAGUUGUGUUACUGAUCAUGCCUGAGUUCUGAUAUUCAUAUAUUUCAGCUUUAUAUCCUAGUCACGGUUUGAUUGAAUCAAGCAUGGCAACGUAUUGAUUUCACAUUGCAUAUCACAUUAUUAUAAUGUGACGUGAAAUAAUACCAUGACAUUGACUUGGAUUUGUCUUAUCACAAUACAGUCAGGCAAUACCGUAUUGUGAUAUGACAAGGCUGAAUGACGAAUGAAUGAUUGUUUGUUUCAUCAUCAGGUUCAUGUUAGGAGUGUGUCUGUUGAGUGUAAGUGUUAUGACAGUUUUCUAAUAUGAAUAUUAUACCGAAAACAAAUAUCAUCUCAUCCAGUCACAGAAUAUCAACAUGGACAUCAAUAUUGUGUCAGAAACGCAGUCUGCUGUUCUCAGUGAUACAUCUUGGGCCAUGCAAUGUAGUCCAACGAGACGUUUCCUCACAAGCCUUCUUGGGGGUUCUCAGUAGCCUUGUGAGACCGUCCAAAUAUUCACGAUUUGCUUUUUCGCAACUCAGUCCUGCCUCAGCUGGGCACUAAUUGAUUUCAAAAGAUGGCUGCAGCCUGACAUUGUUCAAAACACUCGCUCUUGCGUAAUCUGGUUUGAAGUAAAACAAAAUCAUAUUCUCCUCAUAGGCACAGCCUUCUGUGCAGGAUUUGGUCUAUCUAUUGGUCUAUCUAUUAUCAUCGAAAUUCUGUGCAUUUCGAUCAAAGUUUGUUUAAAAUGCUUUCAACAGCAUUCAGGACAGACUGUUCUGCAGAGGGAAACAGAGUGUGAACUCACCAGAUCAGGAUGGUGUAUAGCGAGGAUCCAUAUCCUCUGGUUCUCUGUGGAGGGAGGCAUCAGCUACUUUAACCAGUUUUCUUUAUUUUUCUAAUCAUUCUUUAAAAAAAAUACCCCUACAAACACACACACACACACACACACACACACACACACACACACACACACACACACACACACACACACACACACACAGACACACACUGCAACUGUCUCUUUUUGUACUUUGCUUGUGAGUUUACUUUCCCCCAAACCUCAGAAUAUAAUUAGCACACUUUCCCAUUCAGCCGGCCGUAUCUGUUACAUGCACAGGGCUUAGCGAUGGACCCUUCCAGUGAGGCACAAAGUGCUACCCUUGUUCCUCCGUACCAUUUACUUCAUUAGGAACUCAUCCCAAAUAGUUGUGUCAUUGUCAAGGUCAGUUAGAAACACAUUAAGCACUGCUAGUGCUAGCAAAUGACCUGCCGUUGGUUGCACAAACUGCAAAUGUGUUAUCUGCUUGUUAUCGUGAUAUCCAGUGGGAAAUGUAAUGACAUUUAUUCAUUCUGUGAUAUCUAUUUUCAAAGUAAAAAUGUGUUAUGAAGACAAAAUAAGCCCUGAACUGUUUCAAAAUAUCACGUCUGAAAUAUUAGACAAUAAUAAUUAUGUUUGUGCUAAUGAAUAUCUUUCAUAGCACAUGGUUAAAAACGGUAUGCAACUUUAUAAAGUGUAAUCGCGAAACAUUACCUACUAACCUAAACUUUAAAAAGGGUAUUAUAUACAUACUAAGAAAUAAAUGAUUUAGGAUCUGUCUAUUUGCUGGUUUGAUCCAAGAUAUUCUCAGACAUUUUGUAUCUGGUUCCCCAUUUGUCUCUGAAACGCUGCUCCAGACGAUACCCGGCACCCGGCCUAAUAUGCGUGAGUGGCUGAGUCAGUGGUUUGUUCCACCAAGGGAUUGCACACCUGAACGCCACCUGAUGUUGAUCUACUCUCGCUGUGACUGGAGGGACAAGGCCUUCUGGCUGACUGUGCAGGCGGUAGCCGAGACUGUUUCAAGAGGCAUUAUAAAGACUGUUUCAAAAGUCCCCACGCAGACUGUUUCAAAAGGCAUUAUAAAGACUGUUUCAAAAGUCCCCACGCAGACUGUUUCAAAAGGCAUUAUAAAGACUGUUUCAAAAAGGUCCAUACACACUGUUUCAAAAGGCAUUACAAAGACUGUUUCAGAGGUCCACACAAACUGUUUCGAAAGGCAUUACAAAGACUGUUGCAGAGGUCCGCACAGACUGUUUCAAAAGCCAUUACAAAGACUGUUUAAAAAGUCCCCACGCAGACUGUUUCAAAAGGCUUUGCAGACUGUUUCAGAGGUCAACACACUCAUUCAAAAGGCAAUACAACGACUGUUUCAAAAGUCCCCACAAAGACUGUGUCAAAAUACAUUACAAAGACUGUUUCAAAAUACAUUAAAGACUGUUUUAAAGGUCCCCACAAAGACAGCUU